UACGAAGGGGGCUAGCGUUGUUCGGAAUCACUGGGCGUAAAGGGUGCGUAGGCGGAUUCUUAAGUCAGGGGUGAAAUCCCGAGGCUCAACCUCGGAACUGCCUUUGAUACUGGGGAUCUUGAGUCCGGAAGAGGUGAGUGGAACUGCGAGUGUAGAGGUGAAAUUCGUAGAUAUUCGCAAGAACACCGGUGGCGAAGGCGGCUCACUGGUCCGGAACUGACGCUGAGGCACGACAGCGUGGGGAGCAAACAGGAUUAGAUACCCGUGUAGUCC
rnacentral:rRNA from 1 species